GGUGAAGAGAGGGUCAACAAUUUGAUAAAAUUGAAAAAUAGAAGUGAAAUAAAUCAGAUAUGAAAAAAAGUACUGAUGAUGUGUGUAAGCGCAUGAAUUAUUAGGUUCUUUAUAAUUAAUAGGGCCUCUAUGUCGCCAUUUACGUCCCUCGUGGGAGACGAAGAUUAAUGUCGAUGUAGGGAAGAGCAAAAAAAGCUGAGUCGAACGACAAGUUCAGCCAAUUAUAAACGACAAGGAUCUCGCUGUUGGCACAAAUUAAGGCUCGCUCGCAAGUGCGUUGGAAGUUAAAAAGUGGCUCGGAAUGAAUCAUGGCGUGCGAUCCCCAUGAUAUAUUAUACCAAAGCUGGAACCAUAAAGCAAACGGCAUGGCACUGCGAUACAACGAUAGCGACACAGACCCGACAGACACCAGAGAUCGCGUCUGAACAGACGCAUCAUACAGGAUGUCCGAAAUAUAUAACUAAACACAACAUACAAUGGGUAUUUUGAUAUAACAUAGAAAUUAUGACCCAA